rnacentral:rRNA from 1 species
UUGAGAGUUUGAUCCUGGCUCAGGAUGAACGCUGGCGGUGUGCCUAAGGCAUGCAAGUCGAACGAUAAACUCCGCUUGCGGAGUGGACAGUGGCAGACGGGUGAGUAACGCGUAGGAAUCUACCCUUUAGCGAGGAAUAGCCCAUCGAAAGGUGGAGUAAUACCUCAUGGUCCUUAUUCUCGAGAGUUUAUAAGGUAAAGAUUUAUCACUAAAGGAGGGGCCUGCGUCCUAUCAGGUAGUUGGUGGGGUAAUAGCCUACCAAGCCGAUGACGGGUAGCCGGUGUGAGAGCACGACCGGCCACAAGGUUACUGAGACACGGAACCUACACCUACGGGUGGCAGCAACCAGGAAUAUUGCGCAAUGGACGAAAGUCUGACGCAGCGACACCGCGUGUGGGAUGAAGCUCUUCGGAGUGUAAACCACUGUGGCGAGGGAGGAAUAACAUGACAGUACCUCGCUAGAAAGCACCAGCUAACUACGUGCCAGAAGCUUCGGUAAUACGUAGGGUGCGAGCGUUAUCCGGAUUUACUGGGCGUAAAGGGUCCGUAGGCGACCUGAUAAGUCUCUUGUUUAAGCCCGAGGCUCAACUUCGGACAGGCAAGAGAAACUAUUAGGAUUGAGUUAGUUCGAGGUAGCUGGAAUUCUCGGUGGAGGGGUGAAAUCCGUAGAGAUCGAGAGGAACGUCAAACGCGAAGGCAAGCUACUAGGACAUAACUGACGCUAAGGGACGAAAGCUUGGGUAGCAAAAGGGAUUAGAGACCCCUGUAGUCCAAGCCGUAAACUAUCUUUGCUAGUUGUUCCUGACUUCGGUUGGGAGUGACGUAAGUUAACACGUUAAGCAAAGCGCCUGGGGAGUACAAUCGCAAGAUUAAAACUCAAAGGAAUUGGCGGGGGAGCGUACAACCGGUGGAGCAUGUGGUUUAAUUCGAUACAAAGCGAAAAACUUUACCUGGGUUUGACAUCUAGCUGCAACGCUUGGGAAACCAAGAAGUCUUCGAGAGUGCUAGACAGGUGAUGCAUGGCUGUCGUCAGCUCGUGUCGUGAGACGUCCGCUUAAGUGCGGUAACGAGCGCAACCCUUAUCGUAUGUUACACGUACCAUACGAGACUGCCCUGCUUAUGCAGGGAGGAAGGAGAGGACGACGUCAAGUCAGCAUGUCCCUUACAUCCAGGGCUACACACAUCCUACAAUGGGAAGGACAACGGGUCGCGAUGCCGUGAGGCUGAGCUAAUCCUAAUAAACCUUCCCUCAGUUCAGAUUGAAGGCUGAAACUCGCCUUCAUGAAGCCGGAAUCGGUAGUAAUCGCAAAUCAGAAGGUUGCGGUGAAUACGUUCUCGCUCCUUGCACACACUGCCCGUCAAGCCAGCAAAGUCAGCAGCGCCCGAAGCGGGUGACCGUAACUAGUUUACUAGAGCGGCCCUACUACGGCGAGGUUGGCGAUGAGGACUAAGUCGUAACAAGGUAUCCGUACUGGAAGGUGCGGAUGGAUUACCUCCUUUCUA